CCCUGGCGGUGUUGCUGGAAGUGAUGUUGAUGGCGUCGGUUCUCAGGCUGUCCUUGUCCUGGGAGAAAGCACUCCUUGCGG
rnacentral:tRNA from 1 species